rnacentral:rRNA from 1 species
GAUGAACGCUGGCGGCGUGCCUAAUACAUGCAAGUCGAGCGAACAGAUGAGGAGCUUGCUCCUCUGACGUUAGCGGCGGACGGGUGAGUAACACGUGGAUAACCUACCUAUAAGACUGGGAUAACUUCGGGAAACCGGAGCUAAUACCGGAUAAUAUAUUGAACCGCAUGGUUCAAUAGUGAAAGACGGUUUUGCUGUCACUUAUAGAUGGAUCCGCGCCGCAUUAGCUAGUUGGUAAGGUAACGGCUUACCAAGGCGACGAUGCAUAGCCGACCUGAGAGGGGGAUCGGCCACACUGGAACUGAGACACGGUCCAGACUCCUACGGGAGGCAGCAGUAGGGAAUCUUCCGCAAUGGGCGAAAGCCUGACGGAGCAACGCCGCGUGAGUGAUGAAGGUCUUCGGAUCGUAAAACUCUUUUAUUAGGGAAGAAAAAAAGUGUAAGUAACUGUGCACAUCUUGACGGUACCUAAUCAGAAAGCCACGGCUAACUACGUG